AAGCAACUAAGAACAUGAGAAAAGAUUAUGUUGAGAGAUCGAGGUUGACAAAGACAUUCUGUGACUGUUUCUGCAAAGACUUGAAGCCAUUUCUAAGUGGAAUAGAGGAGACUCUGAAGAGAAUAGAGUCGAAAGUUGAUGCCAUUUCAUGUCCAACUGAAUCAGACAAGGACAUGUAUAAAGUAAAGGUAUUGCAGUUUGUAUUUAGCAAAGAGUACCGUCUGACUUGAUGUAUUUUCUUGUAACAUACAGAGCUAUCGACCUAUUAAGCAGGAGGCAAAACUUGAAGUUUCUUCUCCGGUUAUCUACAAUGGCAUUGACUUGACGGGUAUCUAUGCAAGCAAGACUUCACCACAAAAGUACGCUAGGAAAGUUGUAGGCCAACUUUUCUCAAAGAAAGAAUUAAGUCAAAGCAUAUUCAGGAAAGUUGGCCCAACUUCACGGAAAGAGCUUUCUCCGACUCGGUGUAAUAUUGUUACAAGUAAGGCAACAAUGCACAGUGUAGUAGUUUCAUGCUAUAGUUGGUCAUUUCUGUUAUAGUACAUGCAUAGCUAUAGCUGCACUAUCCUGUCAGGUACCCGCUUAUCUACUUGGCACCCUGAGUUUGUGGUCACUUUUGUUAUGCCCGAUUCAGUGGGUAGGUCUAUCGUGAAUGAAGAUUUUCAUCCAUUAUUGGUUACAGUGAUUACGCAUAAUUCCCCUGUUAGGGCUUUUCCGCAAAACCUGAAAUUUUCUUAAAAGUUAAUGUUAGUGAAGGAAUGAAGUAACAUUGAAUUGGUAUGUGCUAGUAUGUAAAAUAAUUAAUUAAAGGAGCAUUUCAUUUUCUAUAAUACAUAUACUUAUGUCUGCAUUUUUCUAGACUGUCUUAAGAAGCUUUACUCCAAGGAGAUGCUGGAGAAGAACGAGAUGGUCAUACGAGAAAGCCUCAAUCAGAAGUGUAGGGAGGCAACAGUAGCCGUCAAGUUGAAAUCUGAGUCAGACGGACUAGCAGCAAUAGGACACAGUCUAUGCAGUUCACGGGAGGAUGAUUAGAAGUAGAGACAAGAGUAUUGCUAUACUUAGAACAUUAUUGUGUUGGAGAGUUUGAUGAAGAAGAGAAGG